rnacentral:rRNA from 1 species
GAUGAACGCUGGCGGCGUGCUUAACACAUGCAAGUCGAACGAAGCACUUUAUUUGAUUUCCUUCGGGACUGAUUAUUUUGUGACUGAGUGGCGGACGGGUGAGUAACGCGUGGGUAACCUGCCUUGUACAGGGGGAUAACAGUUGGAAACGGCUGCUAAUACCGCAUAAGCGCACGGCAUCGCAUGAUGCAGUGUGAAAAACUCCGGUGGUAUAAGAUGGACCCGCGUUGGAUUAGCUAGUUGGUGGGGUAACGGCCCACCAAGGCGACGAUCCGUAGCCGACCUGAGAGGGUGACCGGCCACAUUGGGACUGAGACACGGCCCAAACUCCUACGGGAGGCAGCAGUGGGGAAUAUUGCACAAUGGGCGAAAGCCUGAUGCAGCGACGCCGCGUGAGCGAAGAAGUAUUUCGGUAUGUAAAGCUCUAUCAGCAGGGAAGAUGAUGACGGUACCUGACUAAGAAGC